rnacentral:rRNA from 1 species
UACGGAGGGGACUAGCGUUGUUCGGAAUUACUGGGCGUAAAGCGCACGUAGGCGGAUUUGUAAGUCAGGGGUGAAAUCCCGGGGCUCAACCCCGGAACUGCCUUUGAUACUGCGAAUCUCGAGUCCGGAAGAGGUGAGUGGAAUUCCUAGUGUAGAGGUGAAAUUCGUAGAUAUUCGGAGGAACACCAGUGGCGAAGGCGGCUCACUGGUCCAUUACUGACGCUGAGGUGCGAAAGCGUGGGGAGCAAACAGG